GGGGCUGUGGCUCAGUGGAAGCACCUCUGCCUUGAAUGCAAAAGGUCCCAGGUUCAGUCCUGAGCAGCUCCA
rnacentral:tRNA from 1 species